AUCCAGCCGAUGAGUCCCAAACAGAACGAAACGCGCAUCCUGGAU
rnacentral:hammerhead_ribozyme from 1 species